AUAGAUCCGUAACUUCGGGAAAAGGAUUGGCUCUAAGGGUUGGGUGCGUCGGGCCUUGGUUGGAAGCCCUAGGACCUGGCUGGGACUGCUGAGGGGGCAACUUCUCGGUGGACCUGGCCGGGACCUGGGNGUGGACGGCCUUGGCUCGCUCACGGGCGUCCGCGUACGCUUAACAACCAACUUAGAACUGGUACGG
rnacentral:rRNA from 1 species